GGAGGCUAUGCCUCAGUGAUAGAUCAUCUGCUUGGCUCGCAGAAGGUCCCAGGUUCAAUUCCUGGCAUCUCCA
rnacentral:tRNA from 1 species